ACAGAUUUUAUCGAGGCAGAUGAAUUAAAUCUCGCUUAGUAAUGUCAUUUUUCUCUUUUUCAGUGGUAAGUGAUAACACCCAAAGAAGGAGAGACCCCAUAUACAAGCACGAAUAUAUUCCUUUGUUUUCUGAUGCUGUCGAUACUCUUAAAUGGAGAAUAAUAUUAAAUGCUUUCAAGAACUACACAGGACAGAAAGAGAGAGAGAGAGAGAGAGAGAGAGAACAAGCAACCAGAAAUGCAGCCCAAGUGAAUUGAUGUCUGAAGAUGAGUAAAAACAAAUAACGGUGAAAAAAGAAAAGAAUAGAAAGAGGGUAGGAGUAUGGUGAGAAACGAAAGGUGGAAAACAAUUAGACAACUGAGAGAGGAUAUAGUAUAGAGACGGAGAGUUGUCUGGUUUACAAAAUCCCAAGCAUUAUUGGCGGUGGCAGUUUUGUCCGGCAGCGGGGACUGAGUUGUGGGGACUCCUCUCUCAUAUGCGUACACCAAGGAUAAAAGACUAAAAAGCUUUGGAAAUUGAUAUAUACAAUGCACAUGGUCUCCACCAGCACGAUUAUGACAACCUUUGGAGUGUUGCUACUUGCUACUGGCUGCACUUAAAAAAUCUUAUAUAAAUUUUAUGUUUAUGAUUCACUAUGAAUGAAGUGCAUGUUCUUGUGAAAAUUUCAAUUUAUCACAUGUGAGCUCAAUUCACUGUUGUAUUACAGAAAUGGUUAGCUUGCUUGGAAUUGAUAAUUGAAAAUUUUGGUAGGGUCGUAUGGCACUAGAUGAUGGCAAGAUUUUCAUUAAAUGUGUCGGGACUGGAAAUUUUGUCACCAAGAGAAGCACGAGCGGAAUAGAUGAGGCCCCAGAUUCGUAUCAUUUCCUCUGAUUUUCCUUUCUCAAUCUCUUCAACCCCUUUUUGUUCAAUGCCCCUUUCCAGUGUUACUUUGAUUAAUCUUCUGCAUAUUGCAGCUUCGUCCAGCUUUGUUUAGUCAUAUCUUAUCUGCACUGAAAGCUCCCGUUUUUUUUUUCUUUAAUAAUUUUGGAAAAAUAAUCUAUUAGAAUGCCUCAAUCCAUAUAUUUAAGAUGCUAUUAAACCAAUACGAAAUGGAUUUCUCCACUGUUAUGAAAUCCCUUUCUCGA